UACGAAGGGGGCUAGCGUUGCUCGGAAUUACUGGGCGUAAAGGGCGCGUAGGCGGAUGUUUAAGUCGGGGGUGAAAGCCCAGGGCUCAACCCUGGAAUUGCCUUCGAUACUGGACAUCUUGAGUACGGGAGAGGUGAGUGGAACUCCGAGUGUAGAGGUGAAAUUCGUAGAUAUUCGGAAGAACACCAGUGGCGAAGGCGACUCACUGGCCGUUACUGACGCUCAGGCGCGACAGCGUGGGGGAUCAAAACAGG
rnacentral:rRNA from 1 species